rnacentral:rRNA from 1 species
UACGUAGGGGGGCGAGCGUUUGUCCGGAAUCAUUGGGCGUAAAGAGCGUGUAGGCGGCCAGGUAGGUCUGGUGUGAAAACUCGAGGCUUAACCUCGAGAUGUCAUCGGAAACCAUCUGGCUAGAGUCCGGAAGAGGAGAGUGGAAUUCCUGGUGUAGCGGUGAAAUGCGCAGAUAUCAGGAGGAACACCAGUAGCGAAGGCGGCUCGCUGGGCCGUUCCUGACGCUGAGACGCGAAAGCUAGGGGAGCGAACAGG